rnacentral:rRNA from 1 species
GACAGAGGUGCCGAGCGUUAGGCGGAAUCACUGGGCUUAAAGCGUGUGUAGGCGGGCCGUUAAGCAUCUUGUGAAAUCCCCCGGCUCAACCGGGGAAUGGCUGGAUAUACUGGCGGUCUUGAGCAGUCUAGGGGCAGAUGGAACAGACGGUGGAGCGGAGAAAUGCGUAGAUAUCGUCUGGAACGCCAAAGGUGAAGACAGUCUGCUGGGGACUUGCUGACGCUGAGACACGAAAGCCAGGGGAGCGAACGGG